rnacentral:rRNA from 1 species
GGUAAGUUGGUGGAGGCAGGCGUGGUAAGAGGGAUGGGGGCGGCGGUGGUUGGAAGACGGGGGGGGAAAGGGCAGUGGGGGCGGCGGCUAAGUCGGGGGUGAAAGCCGGUGGCUCAACCACAGGAGGGCCCGCGAUACUGGCUGGCUCGAGACCGGAAGAGGUUGGUGGAAUUGCGAGUGUAGAGGUGAAAUUCGUAGAUAUUCGCAAGAACACCGGUGGCGAAGGCGGCCAACUGGUCCGGAUCUGACGCUGAGGCGCGAAAGCGUGGGGAGCAAACAGGAUUAGAUACCCUAGUAGUC